AUUGAACGCUGGCGGCAUGCUUUACACAUGCAAGUCGAACGGUAACAGGCCUUCGGGUGCUGCCGAGUGGCGAACGGGUGAGUAAUGCAUCGGAACGUGCCCAGGGGUGGGGGAUAACGCAGCGAAAGCUGUGCUAAUACCGCAUGUGAUCUGAGGAUGAAAGCGGGGGACCAAGCAGCAAUGUUUGGCCUCGCGCCUCUGGAGCGGCCGAUGUCAGAUUAGGUAGUUGGUGGGGUAAAGGCCUACCAAGCCGACGAUCUGUAGCUGGUCUGAGAGGACGACCAGCCACACUGGGACUGAGACACGGCCCAGACUCCUACGGGAGGCAGCAGUGGGGAAUUUUGGACAAUGGGCGCAAGCCUGAUCCAGCAAUGCCGCGUGCGGGAAGAAGGCCUUCGGGUUGUAAACCGCUUUUGUACGGAACGAAAAGGCUCUGGCUAAUACCUGGGGCUGAUGACGGUACCGGAAGAAUAAGCACCGGCUAACUACGUG
rnacentral:rRNA from 1 species